rnacentral:lncRNA from 1 species
UGGGCCGUUUUCUGACACGUAGCGUUUAAACUUUGAAUCUCACAUUAUAAAAACCUGCGGGUCAACUUUCAUUUUAUUUCUAAAAUACCUUGCGAGCCACUUUUUGGACACCCCUGAGCUACAUGGUUCAAAUCAUGGCGGAGUUUCUGCCGCUUGUCGUCCUCUCCAUAGACAUGCAUGUCUAUGGUCCUCUCUGGAAAGCGAAAUGUUUACAGGAGGAUAAAAGAAUAAAAGCCCGAUCUGCUGAGCUGCAAUGCUGGUGUCUUCAUUAAUCUCUACAAUCAACACAACGCAGAAGUAACCCGGUUACACAGGCUCAGGACCAGAAGGCAGCGAGAAUAAAGUAAGCAGAUGCUACA